ensembl:snRNA U6 U6 spliceosomal RNA
AUACUCACUUUGGAAGCACAUCUACUAACAUUGGAAUACAGGAAGAUUAGCAUGGCCCCAUGCAAGGAUAACACACACACAUUCAUGAGGUGUUCCUUAUUUUU